UACGUAGGGGGCAAGCGUUGUCCGGAUUUAUUGGGCGUAAAGAGCGUGUAGGCGGUUUGGUAGGUCCGUUGUGAAAACUCGAGGCUCAACCUCGAGACGCCGAUGGAAACCAUCAGACUAGAGUCCGGAAGAGGAGAGUGGAAUUCCUGGUGUAGCGGUGAAAUGCGCAGAUAUCAGGAAGAACAGCCCGUGGCUAAGGCGGCUCUCUAGUACGGUACUGACGCUGAGACGCGAAAGCGUGGGGAGCAAACGGG
rnacentral:rRNA from 1 species